rnacentral:rRNA from 1 species
CAGGCCUAACACAUGCAAGUCGAACGAAGCCUUCGGGCUUAGUGGCGCACGGGUGCGUAACGCGUGGGAAUCUGCCCUUGGGUUCGGAAUAACAGUUAGAAAUGACUGCUAAUACCGGAUGAUGACGUAAGUCCAAAGAUUUAUCGCCCAGNGGAUGAGCCCGCGUAGGAUUAGCUAGUUGGUGAGGUAAAAGCUCACCAAGGCGACGAUCCUUAGCUGGUCUGAGAGGAUGAUCAGCCACACUGGGACUGAGACACGGCCCAGACUCCUACGGGAGGCAGCAGUGGGGAAUAUUGGACAAUGGGCGAAAGCCUGAUCCAGCAAUGCCGCGUGAGUGAUGAAGGCCUUAGGGUUGUAAAGCUCUUUUACCCGGGAUGAUAAUGACAGUACCGGGAGAAUAAGCUCCGGCUAACUCCGUGCCAGCAGCCGCGGUAAU